ensembl:lncRNA
CGAUGUGGAUUUUUUUUUUUCUUCCUUCUAAAACCCAGAGCUUUUCACUGCAAAAGAAACCGAAGGGAAAAGUUCUCUGAAACCAGGAUGUGUGUGCAGAAUGAUGGCUGGGUGUCCACCCACAGAUUAAAACAUUCCUGCCAAGGGUAGCUCUGUUCAGAUACAGCAAAAUAGUUGUGUGGGGAUUGUAAGUGGUAGAAAGUUGCUGUUGCCUGUUCUGAGAAAGUACAGAAGAGAACAAAAAUCUGACUUUAGUUUAGAACGUGAAUUAGAAACCACAGAGAAGCAGGAUGGAAAUCCUCCAGCCUGCAGUGGCAUUUAUUGCCCAGGAUACAGAUUUGUGUUAUUCCCUUUAAGAAGCUCUGCAGAACUGUUUGUGUCUGAAGCUGUGUACCUGUUACAAGUUUUUGAAGUGGGUGCUCUUGUAAGUUCAUAGCUAAAGCAGGCUGAGCUCUUCUUAACACCUCCUGUGUCUGUCAGGCCUGGCAAAGGUGUUGGGAAAAUCCUCUCACCUGCGUGUUGGGAACUGCAGGCAACUGCUCCAGCUGAGAGAGGAGCAGGGCUGCAGCUCAGGGGAGGGGAUUGUCACUGUCUGCCCCCCUCAGGGAUGGAGGGACAGGAGCCAGGGAAUGGCUCCCACUGCCAGAGGGCAGGGAUGGGUGGGAGAUUUGGAAUUCCUGGCUGGCAGGGAGGUGAGGCCCUGGCACAGGGUGCCCAGAGAAGCUGUGGAAGUGCCCAAGGCCAGGUUGGAGCAGCCUGGGACAGUGGGAGGUGUCCCUGCCCAUGGCAGGAGGUGGAUCAGGAUGGGCUCUAAUGACCCUUCCAAGCCAGAGCCCAACUCCCAACCCAGUUCCAUGAUUUUUUACAUGCUGGGUGCUGCCCAGGAUCCUGCCCUUACCUGUGCAGGUGUCACAGGGCUGGGAUGCAACCUCCUACUCCCUCCCUUUGCCAGCAAAGGCCAGGUGCAAGAAUGGCACAGCUUUUUUGAGGUUGGUGCAGAACCUGCCCUGUCAACACCUCCAGUCACAAAUCAAUAAUUCCUGGCAUGAUCCAUUUGGAUCCUACCAAGACUUUCAGUCACCAGUUGUGUGUUCUGUACACACAGUGCUCUGUAACACAGAACUACAAAUUUCUCACAACCCCACAACAAUUUGGAAAGGAAACAGACACUGCAGGUGUAGCUGGAAGCUGAGUUUGUAAACCCAGAGAAGCUUUGUGCCAGAACCUUUUCUGAAACUCAAGGUGUGGCAGCUGCUUUCUAAUACCUGGUGUGUGUGAUUUGAAACUGUCACCAUACUAUUAAUUAAAGAAGUAAAAAAGGGGUGGUUGGUAUCGUGUUGUACUCCCUUUGGAAGCUGGAAAAGUGCCACUGGAUACAGACUUGAGUUGGUGGAGAUGCAGAAUCCCUGAGCAGGAUGCUCUUGGCUCUGCAGUGAUGUUUCUGAUGGACACAGAGACUCAUUUUGGGGUUUUUCACGUCAGCAUUGAGAUGGCAGAACAGGUAAACUGGGAGAGCUUUGUCUCAAUGAUGUCUUCAGGAGCAGUGAAAUUUGCAUCUUUCCCAUAUAAACUUCCCAAACUUUAAAGGGAGAAGAGAGUUUUUCAUCCUUCCUCAUCUUUCCCUCUCCUUGCCUUUUCUGGCCCAGGCACUUUAAUAUUUUAAGGAAAGGGCUUCAACAUUUUGGCAUUUUUAAGGACACAAUCCUUCAGUGGGAAAUAGCACUUAGGUGUGGGAUCAUUGCUGGGGAUGGGAGAGGAGAAAAUGAAAAAGCUGCCAGUCAGUUUGUGCUUUUUCAUGGAGAGCAGAGCCAGAUCUCCACAGGAAAUGGGAAGAGAGGAGCUCUGCCAUGAGCCUUUGGGAGACAUCUCUAUGUCUCACUGCUCAAGUGGCUCUGCAAGGAGUGCUGGGCUGGAAAUGGCCAGAAAUUCCCCUCUGCUGGGUUCCUUCAGUGUGCCUGGAGCAGGCUGAGCUGCAGAAAGCCCCAAAGCUGCAGAGGGACGGGCUGGGACACGCUGGAACCACUCGCUCUGCGCUGCCUCUGCCGGGCUGGGACAGGGAAUCUGGGUCAUGUCUGUCUGUCUGUCCAUCCCUCAGAACUGCUCAGCCUGAAAAGGGGAUUCCCUCCCCUGUCCCUCUUUUCUCCCCCAGAGCAGUGACAGCACAGGGGGUGCAGUGUUUGAGCAGAGGAAAAAGCUCUUUGGCUGUUUUGGUGACACACCAGGGAUUUAUUGCCGUGCCUGCUCCUGAGAAGCAGCACUUCCCUGGGUUUAGGAACUGGAAAACGAGCGUGGAUGCCUAUGUUCAUCAAAUAUUUAAUUACAGCACGUCGGUGGUGCCAUUACCUGAGCACAGGUGAGUGUCUGAAAGCCUGAUCUGGGCUCUUCUGUACAGCCAGGAUCACAUCCCUGCCUGGCCUCCUCCCCACUGCCAUUCCCAACCAAUUUCUCAUGCCCAAAGUCUAAUCCACACUCAUUCCAGGCUAUGGUCAUUAUGUCCUAAAAAGAGAAAACAUUUCUAGUCCAAAAUAACCAAGGUUUACUGAAGUCAUUCAUAUUCACACUGGCAAAUAUCCAAACAUCUUUCUUUUUGCCUACUUCCUUUCCCAUCCUCCAGCCUGCAUGGUUUCUUUUCCUUAAAGAAAAUAAGCUUUCACUUCUAGAUUUCAAUGCAUUUUAUUGCUGUAAAUCUCAAAAUAGGAAGGGAAAAGACCUUCAGGUGAAAAUCAGAAUUUAAAAGCUAAUUCUGUCCUGGCUGGGACAUUCGUUCCUUAUUUGUUUCUUCAGUUUUAAAUAUGCCAAUUUAUUUAUUUUUAUCCUGCUGAAGCUGCUUCGCAGAGGCAGUGUCAGAGUGGUGGUUUAUACCUGAAGAGAGGUUUUUGUGUAUGGAAUUCCUGAAGCCGUGAGAUAUUUUGUAAUCAGAUAGGAAUUUUGGAAAUGUAUAGGUCUUUCAGGAAUGCAUAGCUCAUGUUGUCAUCAUUUUUCAGCUCUCCACCAUCCAAACUUUGCUUUAGCUAAUGCAAGCCAGAUGGGUUAUUGCUAUUUUAUACACUAAUAUUAGUAUUUAGGGUUUUUUAAUGGUCUCUGCUAAUACUGCUGAGGUAGUAUGAAUUGCAUAAUCAUGAUUAAGGAAAUUUUUUUUUUACUUCAGUUGUUUUGUUUGUUUCUUGCUGCUGGUUAUGGAUCAGGUGUUGCAGAGAUUUGAUUAUUUUAUGUUUCACUGGUGGUGGGGGGGGAAGGUUGCUUAAAGAUGGAUUUCUGGAAGAAAGAAACAGAGUGGUUUAUACAAAUGCAAUAAAUAAAUAAAUAACUGUGGAAAAAAAAAAAAAAAAA